rnacentral:rRNA from 1 species
UACGAAGGGGGCUAGCGUUGCUCGGAAUCACUGGGCGUAAAGCGCACGUAGGCGGAUUGUUAAGUCGGGGGUGAAAUCCUGGAGCUCAACUCCAGAACUGCCUUCGAUACUGGCGAUCUUGAGUCCGGGAGAGGUGAGUGGAACUCCGAGUGUAGAGGUGAAAUUCGUAGAUAUUGGGAGGAACACCUGCGGCGAAGGCGGCUACCUGGACAGAAACUGACGCUGAGGCGCGAAAGCUAGGGGAGCGAACGGG